rnacentral:rRNA from 1 species
CUCGUAGGUGGUUUGUCGCGUUGUUCGUGAAAACUCACAGCUUAACUGUGGGCGUGCGGGCGAUACGGGCAGACUGGAGUACUGCAGGGGAGACUGGAAUUCCUGGUGUAGCGGUGGAAUGCGCAGAUAUCAGGAGGAACACCGGUGGCGAAGGCGGGUCUCUGGGCAGUAACUGACGCUGAGGAGCGAAAGCGUGGGGAGCGAACAG